GGAGAAAUACUCAAGUGGCUGAAGAGGCGCCCCUGCUAAGGGCGUAGGUUGGGUAACCGGCGCCCGGGUUCAAAUCCCGGUUUCUCCG
rnacentral:tRNA from 1 species